UUUCCCAUAGCUUAUGUUCUAAUUAAUUGAUUCUCUCCCGUCUUUAUCACCAAAAACACUACUGCCUUGCCUUCGAAAUCUCGUCUCAUACUCCAGUUUACCUGCAAGCCUUUAAUGGCUGCUGCCUUUAAUAUGUUUAAUUUAUUUACUUGCGCCCUGAAUUUAUGUCUUUGAUACUUCGCAGGAUUGUGAAGAAAGAUGACAAAGAGCUGCUUCAAGCUAGAGCAUGAUUUUUUUUUUAGAUGAUUUUAUCUUAGUUUUUCCUAUCCCUAAUUGUUUUUUUAUUGGUUUUUAUGUUUCUGAUUGAAAAUAAUAUCGUGUCUGCAGAGGAGAGGCGCGCUGAGGCUGCAAGAAUUAGGGAGAAAUACGCAGGUAGAAUUCCGGUGAGAAUUCAAUUGAUCGUUGACUUUUGGCUUGUUACUUGAUUUCUGAAUGAGCUCUGACUCUGAGAGUUGAUAAUGAAUUAUUCCAUAUGCAAUCAAAUUGAAUGAUUAGAAUUUAUGAUUACAAUUGUGAACCAGUUUAUAGGUUGAUGUUGUGUUUUGGGGAUGAACUGAAAUAAUUUAAUGCAACUAAGGUAGGAUAAGAAAAGGAUUAUGGGAAUGUGUUCACUUCAAUGACGAUGCCUUGAAUGUCUAAUACUCAUAUAAAGAAGCAUCUACAUUAUUUUCAUGCUAGUUUUCUGGUAUGAAUAGAAACUGCCUCAAUUUUACCGUUUACAUUUUGAGUUCAGUGAAUAGAGAGCAUAUUUAGUAGAUUUUAUAAGUCAUCUUUAACAAAUGCUGCAUGGGGCUUUAAUGGAAUGUUUUGUUAUUUUUAUCUUUUGUGGAAGAAAUUUCCUGCCUGAACUAAACAGAGAGGCUUUGCUAUUGCAUCUUUUUUCAACCAAAGCCAUUUGAAAAGAUCUUUUGGUGAUAAGAUUCAAUAACAGUCUUGCAUUUUGGGUUUAUAAUAGUGGAAGCUUUAUUAUUUAUUGGGUUGAAGGUAGAACCUGUCAAAGGUGCCACCUCCUCUUUCUCCCCUUCUUUCCAACAGAAAAAAGGGAAGAAGAAAGGAAAACAAUACUCAUUUAGAGGAUUGUGAAUUAAAUUGUUUGCUUGCUGGGCUGUUAAUUUUUGCUCAAGCUUUAUGUUGUUUAUUGCAUUCAUUAUGCAGUGGGUUACCUUUUCCCAUCGGUAGCAUUGUCUUGAACCUUUGUAUUCUCAGUUUGAUUCUACUUUUUAUCGACUCCUGCAUUUCUAGGUAAUUGUGGAGAAGGCUGAGAGAAGUGAUAUCCCCAAAAUUGACAAGAAAAAGUAAUUGUGGAGAAGGCUGAGAGAAGUGAUAUCCCCAAAAUUGACAAGAAAAAGGGCAGUAAUGUCUACAAUAUAUGAUAAAAAGGAGGAUGCAGAUGGAUUUCUGUAUGUCGCAUACAGUGGAGAGAACACAUUUGGGAGCAGAUGCUGCCGUAGCUC
rnacentral:misc_RNA from 1 species